UACGUAGGUGGCAAGCGUUGUCCGGAUUUACUGGGCGUAAAGAGCGCGCAGGCGGUCGUUCAAGUCGCGUGUGAAAGCCCCCGGCUCAACUGGGGAGGGUCACGCGAUACUGAUCGACUCGAAGGCAGGAGAGGGUAGUGGAAUUCCCGGUGUAGUGGUGAAAUGCGUAGAUAUCGGGAGGAACACCAGUGGCGAAGGCGGCACUCUGGGCCGAUACUGACACUGAGGAGCGAAAGCGUGGGGAGCGAACAGG
rnacentral:rRNA from 1 species